AACGAACGCUGGCGGCAUGCCUAACACAUGCAAGUCGAACGAGACCUUCGGGUCUAGUGGCGCACGGGUGCGUAACGCGUGGGAAUCUGCCCUUGGGUUCGGAAUAACAGUUAGAAAUGACUGCUAAUACCGGAUGAUGUCUUCGGAUCAAAGAUUUAUCGCCCAGGGAUGAGCCCGCGUAGGAUUAGCUAGUUGGUGGGGUAAAGGCCUACCAAGGCGACGAUCCUUAGCUGGUCUGAGAGGAUGAUCAGCCACACUGGGACUGAGACACGGCCCAGACUCCUACGGGAGGCAGCAGUGGGGAAUAUUGGACAAUGGGCGAAAGCCUGAUCCAGCAAUGCCGCGUGAGUGAUGAAGGCCUUAGGGUUGUAAAGCUCUUUUACCCGGGAUGAUAAUGACAGUACCGGGAGAAUAAGCCCCGGCUAACUCCGUGCCAGCAGCCGCGGUAAU
rnacentral:rRNA from 1 species